rnacentral:rRNA from 1 species
UACGUAGGGAGCAAGCGUUGUCCGGAAUCAUUGGGCGUAAAGCGCGUGUAGGCGGUUUCAUAAGUCUGUUGUGAAAGUCCGGGGCUCAACCCUCGAAAGCCGAUGGAUACUGUGUGACUUGGGUACGGAAGAGGAGAGUGGAACUCCUGGUGUAGCGGUGAAAUGCGCAGAUAUCAGGAGGAACACCAACGGCGAAGGCAGCUCUCUGGGACGUUACUGACGCUGAGACGCGAAAGCGUGGGGAGCAAACAGG